rnacentral:rRNA from 1 species
AUGAUGUGCGGUUUCAGUACUACUAGGUGUGAGGAGGAGGUUAGCCUUGAUGGCCAGGUGGUACCUCAGAAGGACACCUUUCGGUAUUUGGGGUCAAUGCUGCAGGAGGAUGGGGGUAUUGAUGAAGAUGUGAACCAUCGAAUCAAAGCCGGAUGGAUGAAGUGGCGCCAAGCUUCCGGCAUUCUCUGUGACAAGAGAGUGCCACAAAAGCUAAAAGGCAAGUUCUACAGGACGGCGGUUCGACCCGCAAUGUUGUAUGGCGCUGAGUGUUGGCCGACUAAAAGGCGACAUGUUCAACAGUUAGGUGUGGCGGAGAUGCGUAUGUUGAGAUGGAUGUGUGGCCACACGAGGAAGGAUCGAGUCCGGAAUGAUGAUAUACGAGAUAGAGUUGGGGUAGCACCAAUUGAAGAGAAGCUUGUCCAACAUCGUCUGAGAUGGUUUGGGCAUAUUCAGCGCAGGCCUCCAGAAGCUCCGGUGCAUAGUGGACGGCUA